rnacentral:rRNA from 1 species
AUACGGAGGGUCCAAGCGUUAUCCGGAAUCAUUGGGUUUAAAGGGUCCGUAGGCGGGCAAUUAAGCCAGAGGUGAAAUCCCACAGCUCAACUGUGGAACUGCCUUUGAUACUGGUUGUCUUGAAUUAUAGUGAAGUAGAUAGAAUAUGUAGUGUAGCGGUGAAAUGCUUAGAUAUUACAUAGAAUACCGAUUGCGAAGGCAGUCUACUAACUGUACAUUGACGCUGAUGGACGAAAGCGUGGGGAGCGAACAGGAUUAGAAACCCUUGUAGUCC